AACGGCCGUACCAUGCUGAAUAUACCGGUUCUCGUUAGAUCACCGAAGUCAAGCAUCAUUGGGUCAGUACUUGGGUGGGUGACCACCUGGAACACCGCGUGCCGUU
rnacentral:rRNA from 1 species